rnacentral:rRNA from 1 species
AGACCGGUUUAUUGGUCGUGCUUUUGUACGUACUGGUAUUAUUGGUUUCUCCUUUCUGACGAAUCUUAAUGCCAUUAAUUUGGUGUUUUGGGGAAUCAGGACUGUUACUUUGAAAAAAUUAGAGUGGUUUUUAAAAGCAGGCUCACGCUUGAAUACAUUAGCAUGGAAUAACGGAAUAGGACGUUUGAUUCUAUUUUGUUGGUUUCUAGGAUCGACGUAAUG